UAUCUCAACCCAUGAGUUUUCCUUUUUUUCUGAUCCUCUUCCCCCAUCACACAGCUGUGUGGGGUUCAGCUGCCUGCUGGGCUAAACCACAGCACAGCUACACUGUUAGAGAACUGAUGAACAAGUGAAGUGCAUUGAUCGAUACCCACAGAGCAAACGAACCACGUUGUCUGGCUUUAACAGGAACCACUCAGUUUUCAAGAGCCUGUACACUCCAGCUCUCCUCACUGGUGUGACAGAGCAAUUUGGCUGCUAGCCCACAAGCAAAGCGUUUCCCAAACAAAGGAAAUCAAUAUUUCUAUGUAUCCAUUCAUGGACAUACAUCCCAUUUAGAGUAAAACACUCAUGCAGUUAACUGCAUAUGUGGUUGUCUCCAUUUAGGAGCACAGCAAUUUAAUUACACCAAAAAUAUUGGAGGCUAGAUGGAGAUCUGGAAAAAACAAAACCCAGUUGUCAAACCUUUUGAUCUCGGUCUCUUUGGGUGUGUUCUAAGGAAAACAGGCUGUCAGUGAGCAACAAUCUGAUUAUUUGUUCCUUGUCUGACUCCAGGAAGGGCACUGGAACAAAGGACCCAGUUUUCAGGUGAGCCCUGGUCUUGGGUGAGAGCCACCUGGCAAUGCCUCGGUGCAGUGAGGACUGAGGUAACAACCUACCUCAUCCCUGGAAAGGAACCAGAACCAAAAGUGACAGUUUAUCCAUGUACCCAACUGACAGGAUUCAGCUGCCACCUGUAAUAGAAGUACAUAACAAACCAGAAGUAUUACGAUAGCCUGACCUGCUCACGGAGAAAGAGGAGUGUUGGGUGUACCUGGGCAUUCGUCCAAACAUGCCUUUUUCUAUGCAGGCUUUGUCUCCGUUAUCUGUGUUUAUCUUACAUUAGGACUGGAUCACAGCAACAGAAGGUAAUACACAGCCAGGCUAGAAAACUGAUCUCAAAUAAGGACAAUGGAGACACCGACCGUUUCAAGUCAUGGAUAAAAUCCAAGAUGCUGAUUUCAAUUCAAUAUGUCUUUGGGACCUGGUAUGAGCUACCAAAGAGCCUUCACUUGGUAACUCCCCAGCCUGGCUAUCCACAAUCCCAAAAGGACACGGAAACAGAGGAGCACAUACUCCGUUGAAUAUCCCAACCUGCCAGACCAGACUAACCUGCCCAAGCAGCUGAGCUGGUAAGAGGUAAAUGAGAGCAAGAUGGGGAAGAUGGCCCACAGCAGAACUGUAACGGUCAUGCAGGGGCAGAGGUAGAAACAACAGAUAAACCCAGGAUGCACGCAGCUGAUUGCAGCUGUGUCUGCCUGGAGUAUCUCUGCAAAACAGAUGUGCUCUUGCAAAAGUGAGGAUGAGUCCCAGAGGACCUGAAGUGAAGCCUUGCAGAAACCAAGUCCCAAUGCUUCAGACCAGCCCUAUAAUCACAAAUAACUUGUUCACACCUACAGAGGAAACUUCCACAACAAAAACCGUCUGGUCCUUAGCUCAGUGCUAUAAAUCCACAAACUUCCUUUUCCCAGUUACACCAGUGAAAUGUAUUUUUUAAACUCUUGUCUUUAUUAUAAAGUACUUUUGUAAAAUGGCAGAUUACAUUUAAUACCUGCAUUUAACAAUACAAUCUGGGUUUGACACAGUGGCAGCACAACGGAAUAAAAUGCUACUCUGAAGAAGGGUAAUUCAGGCUUUAGCUUGCCUCCAAAGGUUCACUGCAGAAAACAUUCCUCAUCACAACUACUGUAACAGACAGGGUGGAGAACCUAUGGGGUUUUUUCACUAAAGCCAUGAUGUGUAAAGCCUGAUGGUGCUUUAUCAGAGCCUGAGCCCAGCACGAAUUCUGCUUUGAUUAACGUUAACUCAUUUUUUUCACUGCAACACACACACUGAAUGAAGUCUUUGUGUUCAUAUUCCAUCUCUAGGAUUCUAUCAUUGUGAGAUAAUAUAGCAGUGGGAAUCUUCUGGGAUACCUGAUAAAAUAGUCUUCACCAAUAAAUAGAAAACUCACAGCAUAAAGUCUCAGCUUUAAAAUCUGAUGAGAAGUUUCACUGCAGGAUGGCGUCUCAGACAAAGUAUUACUAUAAAACAUUCUUCUCUAGUUUCCCUUCAGCCUCUACUUGCAUUUAUCCCAACUACUGCAAAAUAUGAUCAAAAUUCUCAGCAAACAUCCAUAUAUUCACUUUUCCCUUCUUAGCUCUGCUUCUCCAAAGUGAGAAGCUCUUCUCUCCAGAGUGGAAAGCCAUGAGAGCCACUGGGCUGUGCACGUUUGAGGAGCAAC